AAAAGUUACAAAAUCUGUGACUUGUGCCAUCCACGAGGAGCUCCCCCCCCCAAAAGGACCAAAUGCAUCCUGAAGCUUUUCAUUUGUUGGCAUUGUUGCACAGAGAUAAGUCUUUAUAAAGUAAACAAGUUAUAGCUCCAUCCAGAGAAAUUAAAUACGACGGUCCUGAAAGCAAUCCACAGCUCAGAGAACACAGCCAUAUUGUUCUCUUAAGGGUUCCAUAUAUUUCGAGGCUUGCCAUAGUAGUAACCAAGAAGGAAUACCCAAACACAAAGACGAUGAUGACUAACAUCCAAAGGCACUAAAACUCAAUAAUCUCCAAAAUUCAUUAUCACAGAAACGGGAAACUGGCAAAUGGGUCUAAAAGGCACAAGAUACUGCCUUCAAAAUCUCACAUUACAUUUCCCCAACUUAUUUAAAGAAACAGAAAAGAACUUAUUUUCUACAAGUCUACAAAUCCUUAUGACGGUUCUAUUUAUUUAUUUUUUUUUCUUUUCUUGUGUCUUUUUACAAACCUGGAACUGUUCUGGGAACUCCUUUUGUCAACCUACAAUCUAUUUUCAAAACAUUACAAAAAGAAAUCAAAAGCCCCCACGAAAGAGCAGAGCACCC